rnacentral:lncRNA from 1 species
GUUGGAUUGGAGGGCAUCGUUGCUGGGACAAUGAUAGGGUGGACUGAGUUUGUCCUUCUUGAGGCAACAAUCUCAUGACUAGAUUUUCCAGAUUAUCAAAUCGUUGUCUCACAUCAUCACAAGUCUGCUUAUGAGCUUGUAGUUGUUGUUUGAACUGGACAACAGUCUUGUCAACUGCAGGAUACAGAUGAUUAUUGCUUUAAUACAACCUCUUCCAGUAGUGUAAUUGGCAACAAGUUGUCCUGCCUC